rfam:Gossypium raimondii chromosome 1, whole genome shotgun sequence.
GCUGAGCUUGGUAACGCAAGCCUGUGACCUAAGUAGGAGCAUUAAGGAGCUGGAACGUGGGUUCCUUUCAUUGAGCUGGAUCCGAUGUGGUCUACAUCUGACUUGCCCAUACCAAGCCGAAAGUUGGGCCGAGGGUACUGAGCGAAAGCUUCGGUUCUCGUGGUUCUUAGAGUGGAGAGUACUGCGUGAGGCUGGUUUCACAGAGCAGCGACUAUCUCCCCCUUUCGGCAGUGGUAGGAUGACAAGUCGGUUCCACUUGGAUCCAUCAUAGCUCGGUGAGUUGACCUCAAACUGAACCAUCACUUUU